rnacentral:rRNA from 1 species
GACGAACGCUGGCGGCGUGCUUAACACAUGCAAGUCGAACGGAAAGGCCCUGCUUUUGUGGGGUGCUCGAGUGGCGAACGGGUGAGUAACACGUGAGUAACCUGCCCUUGACUUUGGUAUAACUUCAGGAAACUGGGGCUAAUACCGGAUAGUAGCUCCUGCUGCAUGGUGGGGGUUGGAAAGUUUCGGCGGUUGGGGAUGGACUCGCGGCUUAUCAGAUUGUUGGUGGGGUAGUGGCUUACCAAGGCUUUGACGGGUAGCCGGCCUGAGAGGGUGACCGGCCACAUUGGGACUGAGAUACGGCCCAGACUCCUACGGGAGGCAGCAGUGGGGAAUAUUGCACAAUGGGCGGAAGCCUGAUGCAGAAACGCCGCGUGCGGGAUGACGGCCUUCGGGUUGUAAAACGCUUUCGCCUGUGACGAAGCGUGAGUGACGGUAAUGGGUAAAGAAGCACCGGCUAACUACGUG